CCUACGGGAGGCAGCAGUGGGGAAUAUUGGGCAAUGGGCGCAAGCCUGACCCAGCAACGCCGCGUGAAGGAAGAAGGCUUUCGGGUUGUAAACUUCUUUUAAGAGGGAAGAGCAGAAGACGGUACCUCUUGCCUCAGCCACGGCUAACUACGUGCCAUCAGCCGCGGUAAUACGUAGGUGGCAAGCGUUUUCCGGAUUUACUGGGUGUAAAGGGCGUGUAGCCGGGCUGACAAGUCAGAUGUGAAAUCCCGUGGCUCAACCACGGAACUGCAUUUGAAACGGUCGGUCUUGAGUAUCGGAGAGGCAGGCGGAAUUCCUAGUGUAGCGGUAAAAUGCGUAGAUAUUAGGAGGAACACCAGUGGCGAAGGCGGCCUGCUGGACGACAACUGACGGUGAGGCGCGAAAGCGUGGGGAGCAAACAGGAUUAGAUACCCCUGUAC
rnacentral:rRNA from 1 species